rnacentral:rRNA from 1 species
UACGUAGGGGCUAGCGUUGUCCGGAAUCAUUGGGCGUAAAGCGCGUGUAGGCGGUCCGGUAAGUCCGCUGUGAAAGUCGAGGGCUCAACCCUCGAAUGCCGGUGGAUACUGUCGGGCUUGAGUACGGGAGAGGCGAGUGGAAUUCCUGGUGUAGCGGUGAAAUGCGCAGAUAUCAGGAGGAACACCGAUUGCGAAGGCAGCUCGCUGGAACGUUACUGACGCUGAGGAGCGAAAGUGUGGGGAGCGAACAGG